GACGAACGCUGGCGGCGUGCCUAAUACAUGCAAGUCGAGCGGAACUUGGGCAUCCUUUGGAUGCCUUGGGUUAGCGGCGGACGGGUGAGUAACACGUAGGCAACCUGCCUGUAAGACCGGGAUAACUAUCGGAAACGAUAGCUAAGACCGGAUAGCUGGUUCUCUCGCAUGAGAGAAUCAUGAAACACGGAGCAAUCCGGGGCUUACAGAUGGGCAUGCGGCGCAUUAGCUAGUUGGUGAGGUAACGGCUCACCAAGGCGACGAUGCGUAGCCGACCUGAGAGGGUGAUCGGCCACACUGGGACUGAGACACGGCCCAGACUCCUACGGGAGGCAGCAGUAGGGAAUCUUCCGCAAUGGACGCAAGUCUGACGGAGCAACGCCGCGUGAGUGAUGAAGGUUUUCGGAUCGUAAAGCUCUGUUGCCAGGGAAGAACGCCAGGGAGAGUAACUGCUCUCUGGGUGACGGUACCUGAGAAGAAAGCCCCGGCUAACUACGUGCCAGCAGCCGCCGUAAGAC
rnacentral:rRNA from 1 species